CCUACGGGAGGCAGCAGUGGGGAAUAUUGGGCAAUGGGCGCAAGCCUGAACCAGCAACGCCGCGUGAAGGAAGAAGGCUUUCGGGUUGUAAACUUCUUUUAGGAGGGAAGAACAGAAGAAGGUACCUCUUGAAUAAGCCACGGCUAACUACGUGCCAGCAGCCGCGUUAAUACGUAGGUGGCCAGCGUUGUCCGGAUUUCCUGGGUGUAAAGGGCGUGCAGCCGGGAAUACAAGUCAGAUGUGAAAGCCCGCGGCUCAAACGCGGAACUGCAGUUGAAACUGUUUUUCUUGAGUACCGGAGAGGUCAGCGGAAUUCCUUGUGUAGCGGUGAAAUGCGUAGAUAUAAGGAAGAACACCAGUGGCGAAGGCGGAUGACUGGACGGCAACUGACGGUGAGGCGCGAAAGCGUGGGGAGCAAACAGGAUUAGAUACCCUGGUAGUC
rnacentral:rRNA from 1 species